UAAAGGGUGAGUAGGUGGGAUUGUAAGUAAGUGGUGAAAUCUACGGGCUUAAAACGGAAAAUGAAAUUGAUAAUAUAGGUAUUGAAUAUUAUGGAGGUAAGAGGAAUAUGUAAUGUAGAGGUGAAAUGAUUAGAUAUGAAAUAGAAAAAAAAUUGAGAGGAAGAAGGAUAAAGGGGAAUUGAAAAUGAGGAAAGAAAGAGUGGGGAUAAAAAAGGAUUAGAUAAAAUGGUAGUAAAAGAAAUAAAAGAUGGAUAAUAGAAAUAAGAGAUAAAAAGUGUGUGUAUGAGAGAAGAAUAUAAGUAUAAAAAAUGGGAAGUAAGAUAGAAAGAUUGAAAAUAAAAGGAAUUGGAGGGGGUACGAACANAGGUGGAGCAUGUGGUUUAAUUAGAUGAUACGCGAGGAACCUUACCUGGGCUAGAAUGCCACUGGACCGUGGGUGAAAGCUCACUUCCCCGCAAGGGGCCGGUGGUAAGGUGCUGCAUGGCUGUCGUCAGCUCGUGCCGUGAGUUGUUGGGUUAAUUCCCGCAACGAGCGCAACCCCUAUCAUUAGUUGCCAUCAGGUAAAG
rnacentral:rRNA from 1 species